GACGAACGCUGGCGGCGUGCCUAAUACAUGCAAGUAGAACGCUGAAGGAGGAGCUUGCUCUUCUGGAUGAGUUGCGAACGGGUGAGUAACGCGUAGGUAACCUGCCUGGUAGCGGGGGAUAACUAUUGGAAACGAUAGCUAAUACCGCAUAACAGUAGAUGUUGCAUGACAUUUGCUUAAAAGGUGCAAUUGCAUCACUACCAGAUGGACCUGCGUUGUAUUAGCUAGUUGGUGGGGUAACGGCUCACCAAGGCGACGAUACAUAGCCGACCUGAGAGGGUGAUCGGCCACACUGGGACUGAGACACGGCCCAGACUCCUACGGGAGGCAGCAGUAGGGAAUCUUCGGCAAUGGACGGAAGUCUGACCGAGAAACGCCGCGUGAGUGAAGAAGGUUUUCGGAUCGUAAAGCUCUGUUGUAAGAGAAGAAAGAGUGUGAGAGUGGAAAGUUCACACUGUGACGGUAUCUUACCAGAAAGGGACGGCUAACUACGUG
rnacentral:rRNA from 1 species